rnacentral:rRNA from 1 species
AACGAACGCUGGCGGCAUGCCUAACACAUGCAAGUCGAACGAGACCUUCGGGUAUAGUGGCGCACGUGUGCGUAACGCGUGGGAAUCUGCCCUUGGGUUCGGAAUAACAGUUGGAAACGACUGCUAAUACCGGAUGAUGACGUAAGUCCAAAGAUUUAUCGCCCAAGGAUGAGCCCGCGUAGGAUUAGCUAGUUGGUGAGGUAAAGGCUCAUCAAGGCGACGAUCCUUAGCUGGUCUGAGAGGAGGAUCAGCAACACUGGGACUGAGACACGACCCAGACGCGUACGAGAGGGAGGGGUGCGGAAUAUUGGAAAUUGGGUGGAGGCCUGGUCAAGCAGUGCCGCAUGAAUGAUAAAGGACUUGGGGUUGUAAAGCGCUUUUAUACGGGAUGAUAAUGACAGUACCGGGAGAAUAAGCGACGGCUAACUCCGUG